rnacentral:piRNA from 1 species
UGAGUACACGUGCACACAAACAGUUCUC